AUGGUAAAUGCCUCUUAUUUAGGUGUAUGCUCUGGCGUGCCGGAAAACAGGUGUGUUUUGACCGUAACAACGUAAGGUAGGAGUUUUUUUUAUAUUUUCCGGUUGGAGGGAAUUUUAGGCUUUGUUUAAAUAUAUUUGGGAUUUCAUUUGUAGAUUGGAGCAGGAACCCUGGGUGUAUUCUAGCCCAAGCAAGUGAUAAUUCAAGCCUACAGGUAUUGUUUGCUUGAUAGUUAUAGAGCUAACUCUCCCAAGCUAUCUGUCUAGUGCAAUUAUUUUAAUUAAUGUGUUUUUAUCAGGUGUUCAGCUGAAGUGUCGCCAUCGGAGAAGGCUGAGGUGGCACCAAGCCGAGCAGUCCCUAGUCUUCUGCUGUUUUGCCUAUGCUGUUUUGUUGGGGUUGAAUUAAUUUAAGAUUUAUUCAUUUAUUUUGUUCUUUUUGUUUCUGGGUGUUUAUUAUUUGUAUUAAAAAGAUUGUUUUGUUUUCUUUUCUUUUUUUCCUUUUUUUUUUGUUUCUGUUGGAAAUUGAUUUUGUUAUUUGUAUUUUUGUUAACUUGACCCCACCUUGUGUCAAUGGUGGCAGACCUCUUUGGGCCCUCCUAUAGGAAGCUGGCUGUUUAUUAUUUGUUAGUGAUACUGGCCGUAAACUAAAUGGAAAAUUAAUAAGUAUAACAUUUAUUGUUACUAAUCUGUUUCUCUUUCUUGUAGAACAACUUGGUGCACGUGGUGUCCCCCUUGGGCCGACUGGUCACCUCCUCCUUGGGAAAUCUUUCCUUUUGCACUUGGUUUGCUGUGUUGGACUCACCCUUGGUUUGAGGUGUUGCGACGUGUGUGGGUGUGUGUGAGUACUCUGUGUGUGCUUGCAGAGGUUGUAUUUCUCCUUGGGAGGGAGGGCCCGGGCACAAGAAUUGUCCAGCACCAGUUAGCUACAGAAAGAUGAUAAUGCUAUGUUAAGACUAUAAACAGCCAGUAUCUCUAAUAUCCUUUUUUUUUAAGCGCAUUUUGUCCCAAGGCUCAGUGUAUACUUUUAAAGUUGUUUUUUUUAAAAAAAAAACUUUAAUUGCUUAAUAAAGUGUUCUUAUGUAUUUCAUGUAUCUACUAUUUCAAACUUGAAUAAGUAAAGAUUUUAUGCUGAACCUCA